rnacentral:rRNA from 1 species
GAACUGAAGAGUUUGAUCAUGGCUCAGAUUGAACGCUGGCGGCAGGCCUAACACAUGCAAGUCGAGCGGAUGAAGGGAGCUUGCUCCUGGAUUGCUCCUGGAUUCAGCGGCG